AUUGAACGCCGGCGGCAGGCCUAACACAUGCAAGUCGAGCGGAUGAAGGGAGCUUGCUCCUGGAUUCAGCUGCGGACGGGUGAGUAAUGCCUAGGAAUCUGCCUGGUAGUGGGGGAUAACGUCCGGAAACGGGCGCUAAUACCGCAUACGUCCUGAGGUAGAAAGUGGGGGAUCUUCGGACCUCACGCUAUUAGAUGAGCCUAGGUCGGAUUAGCUAGUUGGUGGGGUAAAGGCCUACCAAGGCGACGAUCCGUAACUGGUCUGAGAGGAUGAUCAGUCACACUGGAACUGAGACACGGUCCAGACUCCUACGGGAGGCAGCAGUGGGGAAUAUUGGACAAUGGGCGAAAGCCUGAUCCAGCCAUGCCGCGUGUGUGAAGAAGGUCUUCGGAUUGUAAAGCACUUUAAGUUGGGAGGAAGGGCAGUAAGUUAAUACCUUGCUGUUUUGACGUUACCAACAGAAUAAGCACCGGCUAACUUCGUG
rnacentral:rRNA from 1 species